rnacentral:rRNA from 1 species
CAAAUUUGAAAUCUGGCUCCUUUGGGGUCCGAGUUGUAAUUUGUAGAGGAUGCUUCGGGUGCGGCACCGGUCUAAGUCCCUUGGAACAGGGCGUCAUAGAGGGUGAGGAUCCCGUAUGUGACCGGCGACCAAGCCCAUGUGAAGCUCCUUCGACGAGUCGAGUUGUUUGGGAAUGCAGCUCAAAAUGGGUGGUAAAUUUCAUCUAAAGCUAAAUACCGGCCAGAGACCGAUAGCGCACAAGUAGAGUGAUCGAAAGAUGAAAAGCACUUUGGAAAGAGAGUCAAAAAGUACGUGAAAUUGUUGAAAGGGAAGCGCUUGUAACCAGACCUGCCGUCGGGUGCUCCGCGGGCAUUCUUGCCCGUCUACUCACCCGCGAUCAGGCCAGCAUCGGUUUUGGCGGCCGGAUAAAGACUCGAGGAAUGUAGCUUCGCUUCGGGGAAGUGUUAUAGCCUCUUGUGCAAUACGGCCAGCCGGGACCGAGGACCGCGCUUCGGCUAGGAUGCUGGCGUAAUGGUUGCAAGCGACCCGUCUUGAAACACGGACCAAGGAGUCUAACAUCUAUGCGAGUGUUUGGGUGUCAAACCCAUGCGCGGAAUGAAAGUGAACGGAGGUGGGAACCCUCAAGGGCGCACCAUCGACCGAUCCGGAAGUUUACGGAUGGAUUUGAGUAUGAGCAUAGCUGUUGGGACCCGAAAGAUGGUGAACUAUGCCUGAAUAGGGUGAAGCCAGAGGAAACUCUGGUGGAGGCUCGCAGCGGUUCUGACGUGCAAAUCGAUCGUCAAAUUUGGGUAUAGGGGCGAAAGACUAAUCGAACCAUCUAGUAGCUGGUUCCUGCCGAAGUUUCGUAAGUUCUUCCGAGGACCACCCCCUAUGAACUCUUGCUAACAAUCUCAACAGCCUCAGGAUAGCAGUAACGUUUUCAGUUUUAUGAGGUAAAGCGAAUGAUUAGAGGCCUGGGGGAUGAAACAUCCUUCACCUAUUCUCAAACUUUCAAUAUGUAAGAAGUCCUUGUUACUUAGUUGAACGUGGACAUUUGAAUGCACCGUUACUAGUGGGCCAUUUUUGGUAAGCAGAACUGGCGAUGCGGGAUGAACCGAACGUGGGGUUAAGGUGCCGGAAUGUACGCUCAUCAGACACCAAGGGGAAGACUUGUGGUGUCUGGCCGGGGGAUAGACCCCCGGCAUCAGUCUGCGAAAGGCGAGGUCUUUGACCUGUAGGGGUCCGCGGUCGCUCCGGCGAUGGCUUACCCUCUGCUGUCCCAUGACCUGGGCAGCUCACAGAUCAAGCAAAGGCCGGCGGCAGUACGCCGUUGGAGAUAUGAUCGGCCCUCGAAGG